rnacentral:lncRNA from 1 species
UUUUAAUCCUCAGAAAUAUACUUUCCUCCUCCAUCAUAGUGAUUCAUAACCUUCUAAAACCUUACGAUUCUGAAAACCCACACAAACACAUUGGGACCUCUCCCAGCCCUUGACUCACUGUCAGCAUUCUCAAGAUGACCACAAUGAGCAGCAUUGAAGAGCCAGCGUUCAAAUGCUUCUCCCACAUGGGAGUCAGUAUUCUGCAGAGAUGGAUAAUUCUCAGACCACCACUUAGCUUCCUGAAGCCAGCAACCUAUGUCAAAGAUCUUCCAACAAAUACAAACCUAAAUAUGAUAAAUGUAUGGAGGAGAACGUGUGGGCUCAAAGAACUCAGGCAACGAUGAAAAACUGGGAGGAAGUGAAAUGAGGGGCAGGGUCUUUCUAUGUUGCCCAUGCUGGUUGUGAACUCCUGACCUCAAGGGAUCCUCUUACCUCUGUCUCCAAAAACAUUGGGGUUACAAUGGUAAGCCACCAUGCCCAGUCAUAACAUUUUUUAAAAAUUGUAUUUCUUUGCUGUCUUUUUGCAGAUAUUUCAUCACUUUGUUGUUAAAGUGGUAAGAAAGGAGUUGAGUGCAUCUGUCUCUGCUUGUG